CGGCAGCGCAGAGACAGAUGUGGCUGCUGCUAUAGAUCCACGCUGCAUUAUCUGCCCCGGCCUCAGGCCAAACGACAGCCACUCAGGACACAAGGGGAAGUACAGCUUUUUGAAUCUCCCGCCAGCUGAGCACAUCCAGGUCAUCUGAUACACACACCUGAGGUGACUCACACACGCCCAGAAACAAAAGUCUGACCUGCUGACAAUAAGCAGCGCCACACGUCACACAAAGCCAAGGAGAUACCAGAGGAGUGUGUCGGUUUGAGCUGUUGUGAUCUCCUCUUGUCUUCAAAACAAUGAUGGAUGAGAAGAAGAAAGGAUUUUUUUAAAAAACAAUCCACCAUGCCUGGAAGAAAAGUGAAGCCAGCUCUAAGAGGUCCCGACAGGAACGUAUGGUAACAUGGCCGACCCCCGGCGCUGUAACACUUGUAGAGCAGCGCGCUGGCCUGCAGGUCCUAUUGUUCUGCCGCCAUCAGCCCCAGCGGGGACCGGGCUACGAGGGUCAAAGGUCGAUUUGGGCUUUUGAAAAAGGGGACCUUGUUUUCCAGAUGACCAGAAAUAAAAAUUCCCCCCCUCCUUCUUAUUUCCUGCCCCGGCUAAUGGGAGAGGGCUUUGCUGUGGGAAAUAUGUUUUUUUUUACACUGUGAAUGAAAAGAAAAAGAUUUAUAAUCACUAAAAUGGAAAAUAGGAAAAGGGGAAAUGAAUAAAAAAUAGCAGAGGACAACAUAACAAAAAAAAAAAAUGUUAUGCAAAUGUUUGUAUUAUUGGUGGAUUCAAAGGGACACUCCAAGAAAGAAUUU